rnacentral:lncRNA from 1 species
UUAAUUAGGGAUAAAACUAGUAUUAAUUAAAUCCAAAAAUAUAGGAUAAAACAUGGUCUAAAAGUCUAGGAUUUUUAAGGGAUAAAAAUAAGGGAUAAAAAUAAGGGAUAAAAACACAAGGGAAUAAGGGACAAAAACACAAGGGACAAUAUAACAAUUUCAAGGGAUAAAAACAAGGGAUAAAAUUUAUGGUAUAAAAUUAUGAGAUAAUUUCAGGGAUAAUUAUGGGAUAAAAUUUAAGGAUAAAUUCUAGAAUUUUAAGGGAUGUAAAUUAGGGAUAAAAUUGGGAUAAGGGAUAUAUCUUAUUACGUUUUAUUUGACUUUCUUAAUUAAAUUAAAUUAUAUUUUCAAAUCAAAUGGGACAAGGACAUGGGAUAAAAUAUGGAAUAAAACUCUAAGGUUUUCAAGGGUUAAAUGAGGGAUAAAAUCGGGAUAAAGGAUUAUGUCUAAUAUUCUAGUAUAAUCACUAAUUUAUUUUUUAAAAUAAAUUAAAUAUUAUCUUUACAAAUAAUCAAGGGAUAAAAUCAAAUUCGACGCACUUCAAACUAUAAGUCCUCUACCUUAGUGUAUUGAGGCAUUUUCUUAAAAUCAAUCACUUCUCCGCCCCCGAUGCGUGAGAAUUUUUAAGGGAUAAAAAC